UGUGGUUCUACUGGUGUUACUGGUUCUGCUGGUGAGACGAUGUGUUCACAGGAAACCUGAAGAUGGAAAAGUAGCUGAAGAAGAUGACAUCAUCAGUUAUGUCAUGUACUGUGAUGUCAAAACAUCAGAACUUCAAAAACAGCCAAUCAGACGAUGCAGAGACAGAAAUUCAGCUGCAGUCGACUCAGCAGUGAGAACUGAAGAUGUCAGCUAUGAACAAACAUACAUCAGAACAAGGAGGCCCAGACUUUAAACCAGAGCCAGACGUCGUCUACUCUU